rnacentral:tRNA from 1 species
UGGCUCAACAGAGUAGGGCACCGGCCCCAUAUGCCGGAGGUGGCGGGUUCAAAUCCUGC